UUAAUCUGUUAAAAACAGGGAAAGAAAAUUGUACUGAAUUUUAUUCAUCCUCUAGGGGAGAAUGUGAUUUAAAUUUGGAAUACUUACCGAAAUUUAUACUGAACUACAUCUGUGUUUACACCAUUGAGUUUGUAUAUAAAGCAUUAUACAUCUUUUUGAAAAAGGAAAACGCAUUUAAUAAGCAGUUAUGAUUAUUAAAUAAAAUUACUC
rnacentral:misc_RNA from 1 species